UACGUAGGGGGCAAGCGUUGUCCGGAAUCAUUGGGCGUAAAGAGCGCGUAGGCGGUCCGGUAAGUCCGCUCUGAAAGCCCGGGGCUCAACCCCGGGAGGCGGGCGGAUACUGUCGGGCUAGAGUCCGGAAGAGGCGAGUGGAAUUCCUGGUGUAGCGGUGAAAUGCGCAGAUAUCAAGAGGAACACCAGUGGCGAAGGCGAGUCCCUGGACAACUUCUGACGCUGAGGCACGAAAGCUAGGGGAGCAAACAGG
rnacentral:rRNA from 1 species